rnacentral:lncRNA from 1 species
AUGUGUUAUAAAUCAACUUCACUUGACCCUAAAUGUAAUAUCAUAUUGUUCAAAUAAAGGAUGGUGCAUAGUUGGUGCUGGGAAGGCAGGCGGAGAGCUAGAUUGAUCCCACAUCCCACCACUUCCUCCAACCAUUUCACCCAAUGUGAAGCUAAAAGUCUUGAUUUCUCUCAAGUAUUAUGUACCAAUUCAUUGUCAAAGUACUAGGUCGAUCAUUUUACUUUUGGGUUGUUUAGUGAACAUAUGCCACUUUGGCUUAUUAGGUUUCAUGCUUUUGUGGAACAAUGACUAAUAUGAAUGCAUCUUGGUGGAUCCAUUUGAU